rnacentral:rRNA from 1 species
GACAGAGGGUGCAAACGUUGUUCGGAAUUACUGGGCGUAAAGCGUGUGUAGGCGGCCGCGUAAGUCGGAUGUGAAAGCCCUGGGCUCAACCCAGGAAGUGCACUCGAUACUGCGUGGCUUGAGUACUGGAGAGGUUGGUGGAAUUCUCGGUGUAGAGGUGAAAUUCGUAGAUAUCGAGAGGAACACCGGUGGCGAAGGCGGCCAACUGGACAGAUACUGACGCUGAGACACGAAAGCGUGGGAAGCAAACAGG